rnacentral:rRNA from 1 species
GAUGAACGCUGGCGGCGUGCCUAAUACAUGCAAGUCGAGCGAACAGACGAGGAGCUUGCUCCUCUGACGUUAGCGGCGGACGGGUGAGUAACACGUGGAUAACCUACCUAUAAGACUGGGAUAACUUCGGGAAACCGGAGCUAAUACCGGAUAAUAUAUUGAACCGCAUGGUUCAAUAGUGAAAGACGGUUUUGCUGUCACUUAUAGAUGGAUCCGCGCCGCAUUAGCUAGUUGGUAAGGUAACGGCUUACCAAGGCAACGAUGCGUAGCCGACCUGAGAGGGUGGUCGGCCAACCUGGAACUGAGACAAGGGCCAGACUCCUACGGGAGGCAGCAGUAGGGAAUCCUCCGCCAUGGGCGAAAGCUUGACGGAGCAACGCCGCGUGAGUGAUUAAGGUCUUCGGAUCGUAAAACUCUGUUAUUAGGGAAGAACCAAUGUGUAAGUAACUAUGCACGGCUUGACGGUACCUUAUCAGAAAGCCACGGCUAACUACGUU